GUAGCUAUGGGGGAGGUACCAUGAUCGUGAAGGUGGUUUUCCUGGGAUAAGAUUUACGCAUUGCACUCCAGUUAUCCUGACCUCUGAGAUUUGUCAAAUGUGGGAAACUCGACUAUAUAACUUGUGGUAGUGGUGGACUACAUUCCUGCUCUGCCC
rnacentral:snRNA from 1 species